rnacentral:rRNA from 1 species
GAGGCGUUGAGCUAACCGAUACUAAUUGCUCGUGCGGCUUGACUAUAUAACACCCAAG